rnacentral:sRNA from 1 species
GAAAUUGUACAUGGUCAUUACACAGUUCCCAGAUGGUACUUUUUGUGCCAUAAAAUUAAAAAAUAAAAAAAGACUGCAAUUUUACUCUGGCAUCGCUAAUUCCUAGAACUGAAUAAGUAACAUAUUCUUAAGUUUUAUUAUGUUAACUUUACUGUUAUGAUACUAAAACAAGAUCCCACAUGUUUUAUUUUUUUUUUUUUUUGCAGUUUGCCUUUCUAAGAUUUACUUAAACUUUUACAGAAUAUAAAUAUUUACACAAAAUAAAAAACCAGUAUAAGAGGGGUUGGGGAUUUAGCUCAGUGGUAGAGCACUUGCCUAGCAAGCGCAAGGCCCUGGGUUCAGUCCCCAGCUCCGAAAAAAAGAAAAAGAAAAAAAAAGAAAGAAAGAAAAACAGUAUAAGAAUGUAACAAGAAUGUUUACUUGUUAGCAAGAUUGGUAAUAAAAUUUUCCUUCCAAAAUAUCCAAAUUUAAGUGGAAUGGAUAGAUGGAUAUAUAGAUGGAUGGGUGGAUAGGUAGAUGAGUGGGUGGACGGCAGGUGGCUUCUCACACCCACCCUUAGGUAAACUCAAGAAUACAGCUAAAGAAGGACAGACUGACAGCCUAGACUUUCUGGACUGAGCUGUGAUUAGCUGGGAUUAACAUUUCUACAGGACGGACACUCCAGAUGUGCUGAGACUGCUUCUGUAAAUGUCACGUCCUCAGGGCUGCUGUGGACAAUACAAUGUUGCCACUCUCACACACAGCCCUUCACAGGCUCCACUAGCACUGGUGCCAGGACCCUCAGGAUACCAAGACCCAGACAUGCCCCAGUCCCUUAGAGAAAACAGCAUCACAUUGCAUAGAAUCUGCAUAUACGCUAUAUUUUUCUGCAUAUUUUAAAUCAUCUUGCGAUUACUUCUAAUAGCUACUAAGAAGUUGUUAGACUAUAUUAUCUAUGGACUAAAGCUAGAAAUAAGUCUGUAUACGUUCAAGAUAAACCCUUUUUUGGCAAUAUUUUCAGUCAGUGGUCCUACAGAUAGAAAUACAGACUUGUACAUAAUAAACAAAAUUCUUUCUAGCUAUACACAUAGUGUUUUAAGUUCAAAGUUAGAACUAUAAAAACAAAGAAUAAAUAUGUUUAGUCACAGUCAACAUGACAUUCACAUGUGACCAUAAAGUUAGUAUAGUAUCGAAAUGUUCUCUUGCUUCUAAUUACUAUGUAUAGUUUCUGGGUUUUGUGGUGUUUUUUUUUCCUGGCACACUGUAAACUUAAACUAAACAUCUUAAAUGACAAAAUAAUUGGGAGGAUUCAAUUGGUUGUAUCCUUUAUAGGUUUUUAAAAGACAAAGCCAUAUUCCUAUGUUUUACAAUCAGAUUAAAUGAACUACCUAAAUAACCUGUCCUGCAAUUGGACAGGCUACAGGAAUGGCUGUGUCAGCCAGGACUAUAGCUCAGGUGUGCAUGACCUAUUUCCAUCUGUAACAUCCCAAGUUCUGGAGGAGUGUGCCCUGAGGAGACACUAUCGCAACACCCUCC